rnacentral:lncRNA from 1 species
CCAAAAGUCACUUAAGAAUUUCAUAAAAUAUAACUAUAUUUAUUUGUAACAUAUAUAAUUAAGAAUUUUAAAAGAAAUUGUAUGCUCACAAAUUUUAAGGGAAAAACUUUUAUAUUUUGAUUUUACAGUAUUAACUCCCCAGCCUGGGUUAUUGCUUGAUACUGUUUAUAAAAGACACCAGUUAUUUAACAUAUUAAAAAUAAAAACUCUUAAAGGCCAUUUACAUGAUUACUUUAGACUUAUUUACAUAUUUGUACUAGAAUUCUGAAGAAUUUCUGGGGUAGCUUGACAGUGUGAAGAUUUUGGGGGGGGGUCACAGUUGUUGGAGAGUUCCCUUUGUUUGCAGGCUCUUCCAGUAGGAACCCCACCAAGGCCUAGAGGAGAUGGGGAGAAUAUGGAGAGAAUGACCCCUCAUCACUUUCAGUGGUGCAACAGGAGAGAGGAAAAUAGCAGCUGCUGUGAAAUCCUCCUAAAACUUUCUCCAUUACAGAAUGCUGUGCUAGCUUCCAGUGAUGAAGAGCCUAAAUGUACAGGAAAACAGGAGGCCUAAUUUUGGGCUUCUCUCAAUGGUUUGUCACCCUUGGCUGAUCUCUGCAAAGGUGGAGACAUUAAUAGUAACAAAUGAGCUUCCUGCUAUAGACUGGCCUGGUACUGUGUGAUAUUAUUGUCUUCAGAAACACAGUGUGUGAACCAUGCUGUUAAGGUCAUCCAUAUAAGAUCCUAAGAUCAUGUGUUUUUCAAAACUUUCCAUUGCCUCCUAUAACCAACAAUGUUCAGAAGUAGAAGAUAGAGAUUUAUGCCCUUUGGAAUCUUGAUUGCUUGGAAAGUAUAAUCCCAGGAGGCAAUCAGGAUUGGUUAGUGUGGUAAAUUUUGUGUAACACGAGCUUUUUUUCCUCUCAGAGCUACUUGAAGUUCUGUGGCAAUGUUCCCAAAUAAGGGUGGCCCUGUCUGGAAAAGCUCAGGCCUUUUCCUUCCUUUUGUUAUUUUUUUCAAGUCCAGGAACUAGUAAUCAUUAUUUCUUCCUGUCCCCCCACCUUGCCCCAGGGUUUCUGACUUCUGCAGCUAUAUUUCAUUUGGAAAUCUUUUGAGCCAGUAGAGAAUCAAUUUAGAGACAUUUCCCCCCAGCCAGUGGGAACAUUGUGUGUCAUGAAUGGAAAGAUUUAAAUACAUUGAGUAUAACAAAGCUAUUUGCAUGUCCUGGCACACAGACUUUAACCAUGCUUUGCUGGGAUAUGGAUACAAUAAAUUCUGUUCAAAGAAGAAACCAUGUGUAACAAAUGCUUUUGCAAAAUAAUGUCCAUUUAGUAAUUACUUGAAUAAAGAUGUGCUUCAACAAGACGUUUUAGUACAAUAGCUGCAUUUAAACAUCUAUAAAAUGU